GACGGAGGGGGCUAGCGUUGUUCGGAAUUACUGGGCGUAAAGCGUGCGUAGGCGGCUUUUCAAGUUGGGUGUGAAAGCCCGGGGCUUAACCCCGGAAAUGCGCCCAAGACUGUUUGGCUAGAGACCGGGAGAGGUGAGUGGAACUCCGAGUGUAGAGGUGAAAUUCGUAGAUAUUCGGAAGAACACCAGUGGCGAAGGCGGCUCACUGGACCGGUACUGACGCUGAGGCACGAAAGCGUGGGGAGCAAACAGG
rnacentral:rRNA from 1 species